GAUGAACGCUGGCGGCGUGCCUAAUACAUGCAAGUCGAGCGAACAGACGAGGAGCUUGCUCCUCUGACGUUAGCGGCGGACGGGUGAGUAACACGUGGAUAACCUACCUAUAAGACUGGGAUAACUUCGGGAAACCGGAGCUAAUACCGGAUAAUAUAUUGAACCGCAUGGUUCAAUAGUGAAAGACGGUUUUGCUGUCACUUAUAGAUGGAUCCGCGCCGCAUUAGCUAGUUGGUAAGGUAACGGCUUACCAAGGCAACGAUGCGUAGCCGACCUGAGAGGGUGAUCGGCCACACUGGAACUGAGACACGGUCCAGACUCCUACGGGAGGCAGCAGUAGGGAAUCUUCCGCAAUGGGCGAAAGCCUGACGGAGCAACGCCGCGUGAGUGAUGAAGGUCUUCGGAUCGUAAAAAUCUGUUAUUAGGGAAGAACAAAUGUGUAAGUAACUAUGCACGUCUUGACGGUACCUAAUCAGAAAGCCACGGCUAACUACGUG
rnacentral:rRNA from 1 species